AUAAUAAUUGAGAUUUUCAUUAAAGACGGUCGAUUUGUAAUUAGCAAAUUGAAUGUGAUAAACAAAUGUCUUCAAAUCUAUCUGUUCUUUAAUAAGUAAUUUUAAUCUGUAUCUUUGAACUUAUUCCUGACCUCAGACUUCUUUUAAACAGACUAAUUUCGUUUUCAUUUAGAGACUAACCCUUCAUCCAAAGUGAAAUCUAUCUCUCCUUAUAGUGGUGUUUGUCCAGUUUAUAAAAAAGUUGAAUCAACAUAUGGUUCAUUCUGCUGAUUAUUUCAGAUUCUUUGCUAAAUCAGAAUCAUCCCAAGCUAUUAUGACAGCCUAGCAAGUCAUUGCAUCGAGAUUUAUUUGGAUACAAUCAUUGCAUGCAGAUAUUGUAGAUUUUACUUUCAAUGGUUUUUAAAUUUGGCAGCCAACAAAAUCAGUUUUUGUCACAAUAAAUCUUAUCAAUCAACCUUUUUGGAUCAAAUCUCAGUGGAACAAUAGGCAAGUGUCUUCCUCGUUGACCUUUCAUCAUGACUUACAUUUUUUUCACAUAGACGAAUAUCACCAACAAAAUUUUAAUACUCUAAACGCCAAAAGAAGGAAAAUAAUUUGUUUCACUUUUUUUCCGUUGGAAACCCGAUAGCUUAAUUUAACGUUGGUUUUCUCGAUUGUUGGCUUAUUUCCGAUUCGAACCAAGAGAAGGAUGAUGAGAAGAACCAGAUGCAGUUAAGGUUAAUUCAAUGAAGUCUAUCACUCACCAGGAUCAUCAUUUUAUCUACUCGAAUUACCUUUUCCUCUCAUCUUUUCCAUUUCAUUUUAAAAGUGGUCCAGUUUAAAUUAAUAAUAACCCAAACAAACAAUCGUCCAUAAUUGUUGGUUAAAUUGUAGCCAGGGGAAAAGCCAGCCACACGCUGUAACGUGUGUGUGUCAGUAUUGUCAGACAAAACAAUUGGACCUCACAAUGGGAUUAUCAAUUGAAUGGGAAAAUCAUUAUGCUGGUGGUUAAAAGGAUGUCUUCAGGUUAACCAAAGGUUACAGAAAUCCAUUAACUGGAAAGGAAAGCCGAUUAAUUAUUCCAGUUUAUGGUUUCGAUUAAAACACUGACCCAAAAGAUUUACCAUGCAUAUGUAGCUGUCGAUACGGUCAAUACAAAAGUCUCCAAAUACGCCGAAUUGUUAUCAUAAUGGAUUGUGUAAUAAUCUGAUUGUAAAUCAACCUUUCUAAUCAACCUUGUAAAUGCGGUGGAAAAAAGUCAUUUUGGUUUCAACAAAAGCGACAGCAACAACAAGCCAAAAGGACAUGCAAAGGAGAUCAAGACAUUUUAAUUUGCCGUUGACUUUCGAUGAAGUUAAAUUACUGUUGUACCUUUGACAUGGAAGCACAAUGCUAACAUCAUAAUCAUUGUAAUCAACAAGAAGGCAAAACCACUUCCAACCAUUAUUAACCAAUAUCAUUGUUGUACCUCAAGCCCAUAUUGUUAGCCCUUCAAGUUUAUACACAAGCUUUUGUUACAAGCUCACUUCGCCAUUGUAUUCAAUAAUGGAUCAACACACAGAUACAGACACAAAAAUGGUUUCUUCCAGAGCACAAAAAGGUACAAGCAUACACGUUUAUUGUCCUAAAAAGGACAAAAUGUAAGAUUCGAGUUUGAAGGCAAAAGAAAGAGGCGAAAAAAACAACAAUAAUUUACCAUUGAAAUUUCAUUGCAUUAACAAGAGGAAAAAAGGUUACCCUGAGACAAGGUUGUCACAACCCAAACACCUUACCAAGAAGGUCAACAUUUUUACAGUCAAAUGGCAAAGGAGGAAAGCAAAGUUACAACCUGAAAGGUGAAAAGCAUUUUGAAAACCUUCAAUGGAACAUUUAUCCGUCUUUUUUGCCUUCAAAUCAUGUUAUUCAGGACUCUCCAACAAUAAGCCAAGAAGAAAAGGAGAAAAUUUUCUCAGCUCAGAUUUUUAUCCCUUUUUUGGACCAAAUCGGAAAAGAGUUUGGAAGCGAUAUUUUGUUCAUUGUCUUGUUUCAUGGUUAAACAAUGAAACUACUCAAAAGCCGAGUUAAGCGUGACUUUGAAUAAAGUGGGUGUAAACUGGAAGGCUGAGAUGCUUUGGACAAAAAACCUUGACUUUCCAGGUUCUACCGUUUACAUCGUUGUUGAACACAUCGAGAAGCCCAUUCAAUGGUCCAAAUGUUUCGCCUUCAUUUUUUGCUGUUUCAAUGCUUUGUUUUUUGCAUGGCAUUUCAUUUGCAUCAAUGACAAGUCAAUUGAUAAAAAUGUUGCCCUUUUUUUCAACAUCAUUACUGGGUAUCAGUUUGGACUCGUUUUUUACUCCCUUUUAUUGCAAUUGAUGAUGAUUUUGAGGAAACUUUCAAAUUGAUAAUUGAUUAAAUUGAUUGUUUGCUCACAAGAGAGGCGUAAUUUGAUUUGAAGGAGGAAACUUUACAGAUGAUGAAGAAGGCAAAAUAGGAGGAUAAGGUUGGAAACAACAAGAGGAUAAAAUGGAUGAUAGGGAGGAGAAAGAGAGGUUGAAAGGUGACUUGUAAUCUUUAUUGUAACCUAUUGUCCUAUUAUUAUGUAUGUAUUAUCUUCAUCAUUAUUAUUAUGGAGCAAAAUGAGCAAUCAUUUGAAUAUAAUCUUGAUACUACUUUUUGUGUUAUUGACUUUACUUGACUUUCCUUUGACUUUCCUAUUGGCCUUUUUUUAUACUCUAAUCCCACGCCUAUUGGCAAUAAAAUUUAAAUUAAUACA